GCCCCUACGGGGGGCAGCAGUGGGGAAUAUUGCACAAUGGGGGAAACCCUGAUGCAGCAACGCCGCGUGAGUGAAGAAGUCAUUCGUGAUGUAAAGCUCUAUCAGCAGGGAAGAAAAUGACGGUACCCGAGUAAGAAGCCCCGGCUAACUACGUGCCAGCAGCCGCGGUAGUACGUAUGGGGCAAGCGUUAUCCGGAUUUACUGGGUGUAAAGGGAGCGUAGGCGGCAGGGCAAGCCUGAUGUGAAAGCCCGGGGCUCAACCCCGGGACUGCAUUGGGAACUGCCCCGCUCGAGUGCCGGAGGGG
rnacentral:rRNA from 1 species